CUGAUUAUGCUUAAAAAUUGUCUAUCUUAACCUAAACUAGGUUUUCAGACAAAAUAAAUAAAUUCAAAAAAUAAAUAACAAUUAGCUUAAAUAAAGCCACAGCCAGAACCCAGUAACAAUUAACAAAAUAAAUAACAAAAUUAGGGUUUCAAUUUCAUAAAACCCCCAAUUUUAAGAACUCGGAUUUUGAUUUACAAAACUAUGGUCUCGAUUUAUAAGCAAAAGAGAAGAGACAAACCUAACUGAAACAGAGAGAGAGCUGAGUGGAGAAAGCAAAGAGAGCGGCGGAGAAAGCUGAGCGGAGCUGUUAGACGAGGAGAGAGCUGAGAGUGGUGGUGGUGAGUAGCGAGAGAGAGCUGAGAGCCGAGGUGGAGAGAGACGGCGGUGUUCGAUCUUGAGAGAGUCGAGAGAGUCGAGAGAGA
rnacentral:lncRNA from 1 species